rnacentral:rRNA from 1 species
AUUGAACGCUGGCGGCAGGCUUAACACAUGCAAGUCGAGCGGAGAUGAGGUGCUUGCACCUUAUCUUAGCGGCGGACGGGUGAGUAAUGCUUAGGAAUCUGCCUAUUAGUGGGGGACAACAUUCCGAAAGGAAUGCUAAUACCGCAUACGUCCUACGAGAGAAAGCAGGGGAUCUUCGGACCUUGCGCUAAUAGAUGAGCCUAAGUCGGAUUAGCUAGUUGGUGGGGUAAAGGCCUACCAAGGCGACGAUCUGUAGCGGGUCUGAAAGGAUGAUCCGCCACACUGGGACUGAGACACGGCCCAGACUCCUACGGGAGGCAGCAGUGGGGAAUAUUGGACAAUGGGCGGAAGCCUGAUCCAGCCAUGCCGCGUGUGUGAAGAAGGCCUUUUGGUUGUAAAGCACUUUAAGCGAGGAGGAGGCUACCUAGAUUAAUACUCUGGGAUAGUGGACGUUACUCGCAGAAUAAGCACCGGCUAACUCUGUGCCAGCCGCCGCCGUAAUAC